CAGCCGCCACGGGAAUACAGAGGGUGCGAGCGUUAAUCGGAUUUACUGGGCGUAAAGCGUGCGUAGGCGGCUUCUUAAGUCGGAUGUGAAAUCCCUGAGCUUAACUUAGGAAUUGCAUUCGAUACUGGGAAGCUAGAGUAUGGGAGAGGAUGGUAGAAUUCCAGGUGUAGCGGUGAAAUGCGUAGAGAUCUGGAGGAAUACCGAUGGCGAAGGCAGCCAUCUGGCCUAAUACUGACGCUGAGGUACGAAAGCAUGGGGAGCAAACAGGAUUAGAUACCCGCGUAGUCCCUGUCUCUUAUAC
rnacentral:rRNA from 1 species